UAGGGAAUAUUGCGCAAUGGGGGAAACCCUGACGCAGCGACGCCGCGUGGGUGAUGAAGGCUUUCGGGUCGUAAAGCCCUGUCGAGUGGGACGGAAGACGAUAUGGCUAAUAUCCAUGUCGAGUGACGGUACCACUAAAGGAAGCACCGGCUAACUACGUGCCAGCAGCCGCGGUAAUACGUAGGGUGCAAGCGUUGCUCGGAAUCAUUGGGCGUAAAGAGCGUGUAGGUGGUAAUGUUAGUCAGCUGUUAAACCCUGGGGCUCAACCCCAGAUCUGUGGCUGAAACGGCAUAACUAGAGGAUGGCAGGGAUGUAUGGAACUCAUGGAGUAGGGGUGAAAUCCGUUGAUAUCAUGGGGAACACCAAAAGCGAAGGCAGUACAUUGGGCCACUCCUGACACUGAAACACGAAAGCGUAGGUAGCGAAUGGGAUUAGAUACCCAUGUAGUCCCUGAGCGGGCUGGCAAGGCGCAU
rnacentral:rRNA from 1 species